AUGGUUGUGUGUGAUCAUACUGGGAAACUUAUUCGAGCUCAAGCACGGUGGUAUGAAUAUGCUAGUUCUGCCCGGAUGAUGGAGGCAAUGGCAAUAUUGGAUGCUGUGAAUCUGGCUUCAGAUAUGGGAUGGAGGGGAAUCUUGGUUGAAAGUGACGCCCUUGAAGUGGUGAACCUGUGGAAAUCUCAGGAUUUUGCAAAAGCUGAUAUAGUGAGGCCUCUUCAGGAGAUCAAGGAGCCAGGCGGGAACUUCAUUAGUUUUUCUAUUUCUUUUGUAAGAAGAGAAACCAAUAUGGCUGCUCAUCUUACUGCUAAACACGCUAGUGAGGUUCGCAGGAGGUGUCUCUGUAUCAAUAUUGUUCCACAAUUCCUCCGUGAUGUUAUUGGCCGUGAAUGUAUUACCACUGAGUAA
rnacentral:rRNA from 1 species